CAGCAAAUCCAUAGUGGACCGAACCAUGUCAACAAAGUUUAAUUUCUCCUUUUAGAUAUCCUUUUAAAUAGUGGUAUCCCAGGAGAGGUUCAUUGAGAGAGAAUUCAAUUCUCUUCAAGACAUAUCAAAAACUUACUAUAAAGGUAUUCACUUCAUCGAUCAAACCGAUGAAUUCUAAUACUCUUUAUAGUUUAUUUUUCUACCUCAUUAUGAAAUCGUUUGAAUAUUUCAAUCGAUUCUAAUUUGUGCUUCAUAAACAAGACACACCCAUGCCA
rnacentral:lncRNA from 1 species